AUCAGACUGACUCCCCCUUCUCCGCCCCCUCCGCAGUCCUUGGUGGCCUUCUCCGGUCCCUGCUUCGUUCGUCACUCCCCGCAGAUGGAAGACAUGGAGAGGAUGUUGCAGCAUGCGGUGGUGGCCUGUGCUGGUGGGCGGAAUCAGACCGGCCGCUGGUGUCUCACCUAUGCUCUGCUCGAUGACUCAAUCAUGGAGUGGAUGCCGCACCAGCCAGGUGUCUAGCCGGUGCAUGGAUUUUUUUCGGCCUCGAGGCUGGGCUGAUGGUGACGCCAGUAGGGCCUCCAUUGACAGCGAUGGCUUGCAGGUGGAUCGAGCUUGCCUCUGAUUUGUUGUCGGCGUACUCCCCCAGCAUCACCUGCACCUACCCAAUCCAGUUUUUACAGCUAGCUACUGCAAUCAUUAGCGAGAGGGAGGAAUCAUCCAAGGCAAGGAUCCAUCUGCACCCUCGACGGUGCCUGCGACAAACAAUCAUGUCAUGUUGUAGGUGCAAAUUUCUUCUUACACUUACAGAUACAUGCGGAAGUUUAAAUGCAAUUGCUUUCUCUUCCAUUGCUUAAGACUUAGUCGAGCGCAGCGUUGCCAUCAAAAUAAGAAGAUAGACACUGGAAAUCAUGUGGUUGUCCUUGAUAAUGUUAUUGGUAAAACAAAAUUGUUUUGCACUAGAAUGAAAACAGGUAUAGCUUCCAAGUUCCUUAUCAGUCAUGUCAUCGGAAAAAGCUUCUCAAUUGAUGGCACAAAUCCACUUCAAUGCACCCUGCUAGAGGCAAGCAACGACAUGUUGACCCUUAAAAUUUUCAGUCACAGGAAUAGCGAGAGGAUGGUUGCCACGCUUGGAAUUAAAGUUGCAGGUCAGUUUCAAUUAAGUGCCUUCAAUUUUUCAUUCAUAAUGGACACUACUUAAUAGUUCAUCUGUCCAUAGCCAAGAUACCUCCCAAGAUAAUACACCACCGGCUAGAUUAGCUGCUCCUGAUGAUAUGCAAAGAUUCAAACAAGGGAUUACUCAUGGAUAUGCAUACUUAUUUAACUCCUCGAUGAAUGUUGUACCACAAAAUUCUGUUUCACAGGAACUCCGAUACAAAAAGAAAAAAAAUGAGUUUUCUGAAGAUGCUAACAACAUCCUAGCAGCACUACAAACAACAUUAACGCAGAGGACAAGCGGAGUAAGAUCACUAGGAGAAGUAUAUAUGAAGGAUGGAAGGCAAUAUCAGGCUUUGCUACAGAGAAGAUACAUGCUUCGAUGCCUUCCAUGCCAGUUACCUAUAUCGUAUUGUACAUGUCUAUAAUAGCACACGGGUCGUCACCUAUUGUAAUUGAAAAUCAUAGUCAUACUUCUAUGUGUUCUCAAUGGUAUGAACUGCAUAUAUAUCAUCGUGUAUUUGCUUGAGCUUUGAAGAUACAAUCCACACAUUUUUUUGAUAUGUGUGUGAUGUUUAUCGUCC